rnacentral:rRNA from 1 species
CAAAGAUUUAUCGCCCAAGGAUGAGCCCGCGUAGGAUUAGCUUAGUUGGUGGGGUAAAAGGCCCACCAAGGCGACGAUCCUUAGCUGGUCUGAGAGGAUGAUCAGCCACACUGGGACUGAGACACGGCCCAGACUCCUACGGGAGGCAGCAGUGGGGAAUAUUGGACAAUGGGCGAAAGCCUGAUCCAGCAAUGCCGCGUGAGUGAUGAAGGCCUUAGGGUUGUAAAGCUCUUUUACCCGGGAUGAUAAUGACAGUACCGGGAGAAUAAGCUCCGGCUAACUCCGUGCCAGCCGCCGCGGUAAUU